rnacentral:rRNA from 1 species
CCUACCGAGCCUAGUUAUAGCUGGUUGCUUAAGAAAUGAAUGUUAGUUCAGCCUUAUGUAAUUCUAUAACCAAAACUUAUUAACAAAAAGAACAAAAGCAACACAUAAGAGUUAGUCAAAGGGGGUACAGCCCCUUUGAAACAGAACACAACCUUAUUCAGGAGGACAAGGAUCAUACCAUAAAAGGACAAAAUUACCUCAGUGGGCCCAAAAGCAGCCACCUGUAAAGAAAGCGUUAAAGCUCCGGUAAAUACAGACCAAUAAUAAAGACAAUACACUCCCCACCCCCUAAAAAUAUUAAGCUAUCCUAUGCACACAUAGGAGAAACAAUGCUAAAAUCAGUAAUAAGAGGGCCCAAGCCCUCUCCUAGCACAUGUGUAAGUCAGAACGGACCGACCACUGACAAUCAACGGACCCAAACAGAGAGAAAAAGAACAAACUACAAAAAACAAGAAAAAUCUAUUUAAUACCACAAACCGUUAACCCAACACAGGAGUGCCUAAAGGAAAGACUAAAAGGAGAAGAAGGAACUCGGCAAACACAAACCCCGCCUGUUUACCAAAAACAUCGCCUCUUGCUAACAAAGGAAGUACUAGAGGUCCCGCCUGCCCUGUGACCACAAAGUUUAACGGCCGCGGUAUCCUGACCGUGCGAAGGUAGCGUAAUCAUUUGUCUUUUAAAUAGAGACCUGUAUGAAUGGCAUAACGAGGGUUUAACUGUCUCCUUCCCCUAGUCAAUGAAAUUGAUCUGCCCGUGCAGAAGCGGACAUAAAUACAUAAGACGAGAAGACCCUAUGGAGCUUUAGACAAAAGAUCAAACAUGUAAAGAAACCAAGUUAACCAAAAGGAACACAAAGGCCACGAAACCCGACGUAAACUGAUCCAAAUGUCUUCGGUUGGGGCGACCAUGGGGGAGAAAAAAGCCCCCACGAGGAACAGGGACUAAUCCCUAAGCCAAGAGAGACAUCUCUAAGCAACAGAAAAUCUGACCAAAAGUGACCCAGAAUACUAAUUCUGAUCAACGAACCAAGUUACCCUAGGGAUAACAGCGCAAUCCUUUCCC